rnacentral:rRNA from 1 species
GCUUAAUACAUGCAAGUCGAGCGAGAAGCCACCGCUCCGUAAGGAGUGGUGGUGGAAAGCGGCGAACGGGUGAGUAACACGUGGGUAACGUGCCCCGAACACUGGGAUAACGGCGGGAAACCGCCGCGAAUAACGGAUAACCCUGCAGCGUCGCAUGAUGCAGCCGGCAAAGCUCCGACGGAUCGGGAUCGGCCCGCGGCGUAUCAGCUGGUUGGUGGGGUAACGGCCUACCAAGGCAGGGACGCGUAGCUGGCGUGAGAGCGCGACCAGCCACACUGGGACUGAGACACGGCCCAGACUCCUACGGGAGGCAGCAGUAGGGAAUCUUGCGCAAUGGGCGAAAGCCUGACGCAGCGACGCCGCGUGAGGGAUGAAGGCCUUCGGGUUGUAAACCUCUUUCAGCGGGGACGAAGCCUCACGGUGACGGUACCCGCAGAAGAAGGUCCGGCCAACUACGUGCCAGCAGCCGCCGUAA